rnacentral:rRNA from 1 species
CCAGACUCCUACGGGAGGCAGCAGUGAGGAAUAUUGGCCAAUGGGCGGGAGCCUGAACCAGCCAAGUCGCGUGAGGGAAGACGGUCCUAUGGAUUGUAAACCUCUUUUGUCGGGGAGCAAAGAGAUCACGUGUGGUCAAAAGCGAGAGUACCCGAAGAAAAAGCAUCGGCUAACUCCGUGCCAGCAGCCGCGGUAAUACGGAGGAUGCGAGCGUUAUCCGGAUUUAUUGGGUUUAAAGGGUGCGUAGGCGGGCCGUUAAGUCAGCGGUAAAAGGCGGAGCUCAACUCCGUCGAGCCGUUGAAACUGCCGUUCUUGAGUGAGCGAGAAGUAUGCGGAAUGCGUGGUGUAGCGGUGAAAUGCUUAGAUAUCACGAAGAACCCCGAUUGCGAAGGCAGCCUGCCGCAGCGUUACUGACGCUGAAGCUCGAAAGCGCGGGUAUCGAACAGGAUUAGAUACCCUGGUA